AUUUGGGCAAUGGACGCAAGUCUGACCCAGCCAUCCCGCGUGCAGGACGAAUGCCCUAUGGGUUGUAAACUGCUUUUGUUUGGGAAGAAAUGUAUUCUUUUAAGAGUAUUUGACGGUACCAGACGAAUAAGCACCGGCUAACUCCCGUGCCAGCAGCCGCGGUAAUACGGAGGGUGCAAGCGUUAUCCGGAAUCACUGGGUUUAAAGGGUGCGUAGGCGGCCAUAUAAGUCAGAGGUGAAAGUUUCCGGCUCAACCGGGAGAUUGCCUUUGAUACUGUUUGGCUUGAAUCAGAUUGAGGUUGGCGGAAUGUGACAUGUAGCGGUGAAAUGCAUAGAUAUGUCAUAGAACAUCGAUUGCGAAGGCAGCUGGCUGGAUCUGUAUUGACGCUGAGGCACGAAAGCGUGGGGAGCAAACAGGAUUAGAUACCC
rnacentral:rRNA from 1 species